GGAAUAUUGCACAAUGGGGGAAACCCUGACGCAGCGACGCCGCGUGAAGGAAGAAGUAUCUCGGUAUGUAAACUUCUAUCAGCAGGGAAGAAGAUGACGGUACCUGGUUAAGAAGCACCGGCUAAAUACGUGCCAGCAGCCGCGGUAAUACGUAUGGUGCAAGCGUUAUCCGGAUUUACUGGGUGUAAAGGGAGCGUAGACGGAUAGGCAAGUCUGGAGUGAAAACCCAGGGCUCAACCCUGGGACUGCUUUGGAAACUGCAGAUCUGGAGUGCCGGAGAGGUAAGCGGAAUUCCUAGUGUAGCGGUGAAAUGCGUAGAUACUAGGAGGAACACCAGUGGCGAAGGCGGCUUACUGGACGGUGACUGACGUUGAGGCUCGAAAGCGUGGGGAGCAAACA
rnacentral:rRNA from 1 species